UUUUUUAGGGUUAAAUGUCAACAUUUUAGACAAGUUUUCUAUUUUUAGGGACUGAUGUCAUUUUUUGACGUGUUUACUAUUUUUAGGGACC
rnacentral:pre_miRNA from 1 species